ACGUAGGAGGCGAGCGUUAUCCGGAUUUACUGGGUGUAAAGCGCAUGCAGGCGGUUGGCUAAGUUGGGUGUGAAAGCUCCUGGCUCAACUGGGAGAGGUCGCUCAAGACUGGCGAACUAGAGGACGGUAAGGGGAAGCGGAAUUCCGGGUGUAGUGGUGAAAUGCGUAGAUAUCCGGAGGAACACCAGUGGCGAAGGCGGCUUUCUGGACCGCACCUGACGCUCAGAUGCGAAAGCUAGGGUAGCAAACGG
rnacentral:rRNA from 1 species